rnacentral:rRNA from 1 species
AUGGCUCCUACCGAGGCUGAGGCUGAUGUAGAGGAGGGAGAAGAGAAGAAGAAGAAGGAAAGGAAAGCAGCCAGAGCUGCUUUCACGUGGAUUCAAAGAAACUUUGUGCAUUGCCCUGCGGCUGCCAAUGAUGAUGUGAUCCAGACACAUGCUCGUGUCUAUAUGUGGUACGUUGUCUCGAGGACUUUGUUUCCUAACUCCACGGGCAAGAACGCUCCAUGGAUGUGGCUAAAGGCGUUGACCGUCUUCGGUAGCAGAUGGAGCUGGGGUUCAGCCACUCUUGCCUACUUGUAUCGACAGGUAGCUGUUUUGUUAUCAACUCAUUUCUUCAUUAGAAAUGCAACCUUGCUGUCAAGUUAA